AGAAUUUUAUAAGACAUUAGUGGUAUCUCUGAUAGCAAGCCUUAUUUUCAUGAAUUUUUUAAAGCACUACCAGUAUCUACCUCUUUCCCUUUAUUGUUGUCUGGCCUGCUAUUUUUUCAGAGAUAUGGAAGUGCAUCCUACAAAGAUAUUAGUAUAUAGUAAUGGCAUUCCUUUCUCUUGACUCCUUUCAGGUCUGGAAUAUUUGGGAAAUUAUGGAUUUUCGUAACUGAGCCGAAUUUAUAACAUAAUUAUGUAUGGUCCAUCCCACUCAUUUGUCUCAACUAAUCCAUUCCCUUUUAUAUUACACAAAAAUAGUUUCUGAUUUUUUACUUUCUUUGUUUAUUGUAAGAAUAUAUGAAAUUAUACGACACCACAAAGAGUUUAGUUUCAAACUUAUUUGGAAGUGGCCGUCAUUGUCAAUGCACGCUUGAUAAUCUAUAGUGUCUAGCUUUAUUAAGUUCGGUUCACUGUGACUUAAUAUAUCACAUCUGCUUACUUUAUACAUACUCACUGUCAUGUUGUUAAUCUAAUGGUGCUUCUUUCAUGUGACGCCUGAAUGGAAGUUUUUGUUCAUAUUUUCUGAUCCAGAACAUCAGGGCAUGUACCACCAUGUGUCAUGGAUAUCAAGUAUACAGAUAGUUUCUUUGAUGGCCUUCUAGCUGUAGUAUAUUGCAAAUGCAUGAGCUGCACACAAAACUAACUGGAAGGAUGCGGUUGUUUGUGGUCUGAAUAAGUACGAUCACCACAACAAGUCAGCAAUGUUCAGUUGUGCACCAGGUGCUUCUCGCGUCUUUGAUUUUGGGUACCAACCUGCCGACUCCCUACCAUGAGAAUGUCAUUGGACAUUGGCGGUGCGUAGCUCUUGGGGACGGCGCCGACGAGAGAUACCCAUGGAAAUUGGAGCUUUCCUCAUAUUCAUGAGUUUUGAUUUAGCAUGAAUUAAUUUCUGUGUGCACGUAUUUCUAUCCUUAACCAGGUUUAUUUUUUCUUCCAUUUACAUCUAGAUUUUGUUCAAAUAUCAUGUGGUACUACUAGCUAGCGACCGGUUCGUUCUAAUUCGGUACAGUGAAAUCACUAUUGAUCAUUUAUAUUUGGUGAAGGUUGUUGUUUACAACAUUUGUUGACUUCAAAAUCAAAGAUAUCCUUGGUGAUUUGGUUCAUUACAUGCUGCUAAUUACCCCUCAUAUAUGAGCUGGAAUGUAUUCGAAAAAGAGAUCAUCGUCUCAAAUGGAAUGUACGGCGAUUGGGCUUGUGAUAUUUAUGAUUUUUGUGCAGUUCUAGGGAACUCAAUUUGCUCAGCUGAUUUCUGAUGGAAAUUGCUCAUGUUUGUUGGAAGGCAGUUCGCUGCUGCUAUUAUGGAUCGCUGGGCUUGACUCCAGACAUCAUUUCUAGGAGGGAUGCAACGGUGUACAUCGCCUGUAUCUACUUGCCCAUCCUGACACGAUAAGGAUUUCCGUAGUAACGAGGUUUGUUCCAUUUUCUACACAUAUAUAGUUGCCUAGAGGACACAAAUGCUAAAAUGCAAGACAGCUCUAAGGCUGUUACAUCAACAGCAGAUUUAAUAUUGUAUUGAUGCGUAAGCAGAGAGUUAGUCGUUGUAUGCAUCUUUAUCCUGAAUUCUCUCUCACUGUCUCUGAAAAUACAUAUACUGUGCUACUAUUGUGUAAACACAAAGUUUGUCAAAAUUAAUGCAGGACUAGACUCUUUCUCAGCUUUAUGCUUGGCAAAUUACAAUCCUAUGGAUUCCCUAUAUGCUCAAGUUCGCUAUACAAUUAUAUGGGAGUGAAAUGUUUUGCAUUCAGAUAUAUAGACCUAAUAUGAAC